GACGAACGCUGGCGGCGUGCUUAACACAUGCAAGUCGAACGGAAAGGCCCUGCUUUUGUGGGGUGCUCGAGUGGCGAACGGGUGAGUAACACGUGAGUAACCUGCCCUUGACUUUGGGAUAACUUCAGGAAACUGGGGCUAAUACCGGAUAGGAGCUCCUGCUGCAUGGUGGGGGUUGGAAAGUUUCGGCGGUUGGGGAUGGACUCGCGGCUUAUCAGCUUGUUGGUGGGGUAGUGGCUUACCAAGGCUUUGACGGGUAGCCGGCCUGAGAGGGUGACCGGCCACAUUGGGACUGAGAUGCGGCACAGACUCCUACGGGAGGCAGCAGUGGGGGAUAUUGCACAAUGGGCGGAAGCCUGAUGCAGCAACGCCGCGUGCGGGAUGACGGCCUUCGGGUUGUAAACCGCUUUCGCCUGUGACGAAGCGUGAGUGACGGUAAUGGGUAAAGAAGCACCGGCUAACUACGUG
rnacentral:rRNA from 1 species